AGAGUUUGAUCAUGGCUCAGAGCAAACGCUGGCGGCGUGCCUAAUACAUGCAAGUCGAACGAGGAAGUAUCUUCGGAUAUUGUACUAGUGGCGUACGGGUGAGUAACACGUGGAUAAUCUUCCUUCAGAUGGGGAAUAACCAAUCGAAAGAUUGGCUAAUACCGCAUAAGACCACAAUCUCUUUGGAGAUAGGGGUUAAAGGCUUCGGCCGUCUGAAGAUGAGUCUGCGUCCCAUUAGCUAGUUGGUGAGGUAAAAGCUCACCAAGGCGACGAUGGGUAGCUGGUCUGAGAGGAUGAUCAGCCACACUGGGACUGAGACACGGCCCAGACUCCUACGGGAGGCAGCAGUAGGGAAUAUUGCACAAUGGACGAAAGUCUGAUGCAGCGACGCCGCGUGAGUGAUGAAGGCCUUCGGGUUGUAAAGCUCUGUUCUCAGGGAAUAAAAAAAUGAAGGUACCUGAGGAGAAAGGACCGGCUAACUUCGUGCCAGCAGCCGCGGUAAUACGAGGGGUCCAAGCGUUGCUCGGAAUCAUUGGGCGUAAAGCGGGUGUAGGUGGCUUUGUAAGUCAGGAGUGAAAGCCCUGGGCUCAACCCAGGAAGUGCUUUUGAUACUGCGAAGCUUGAGUGUGGGAGAGGAUCGUGGAAUUCCAGGUGUAGUGGUGAAAUACGUAGAUAUCUGGAGGAACACCGGUGGCGAAGGCGGCGAUCUGGCCCAACACUGACACUCAGACCCGAAAGUGCGGGGAUCAAACAGGAUUAGAUACCCUAGUAGUCC
rnacentral:rRNA from 1 species